CCUUGACAUACUAAGAACUUUCCAGAGAUGGAUUGGUGCCUUCGGGAACUUAGAUACAGGUGCUGCAUGGCUGUCGUCAGCUCGUGUCGUGAGAUGUUGGGUUAAGUCCCGCAACGAGCGCAACCCUUUUCCUUAUUUGCCAGCGGGUCAUGCCGGGAACUUUAAGGAUACUGCCAGUGACAAACUGGAGGAAGGCGGGGACGACGUCAAGUCAUCAUGGCCCUUACGGCCAGGGCUACACACGUGCUACAAUGGUCGGUACAAAGGGUUGCUACCUCGCGAGAGGAUGCUAAUCUCAAAAAGCCGAUCGUAGUCCGGAUCGCAGUCUGCAACUCGACUGCGUGAAGUCGGAAUCGCUAGUAAUCGCGGAUCAGAAUGCCGCGGUGAAUACGUUCCCGGGCCUUGUACACACCGCCCGUCACACCAUGGGAGUUUGUUGCACCAGAAGUAGGUAGUCUAACCGCAAGGAGGGCGCUUACCACGGUGUGGCCGAUGACUGGGGUGAAGUCGUAACAAGGUAGGCGUAGAUGA
rnacentral:rRNA from 1 species